GGAUAAGUUAGAAAGGGCGCACGGUGAAUGCCUUGGCACUAGGAGCCGAUGAAGGACGCGACGAACCGCGAUAGGCUUCGGGGAGCUGUAAG
rnacentral:rRNA from 1 species